rnacentral:tRNA from 1 species
UUUGCUAUAGUUUAAUUAGAUUAAGUUGUUAAAACACAUACUCUUGGUGUAUGAGAUAUAAUGAAAGUUGUUUUUAGUGAAA